rnacentral:lncRNA from 13 species
UCCUUGUCGAGGGCGCACCCAUCUACAGGGUCCGUAGAAUUUUGGACAUGCGUCCUCGGGGCCGUGGUCACCAGUACCUCGUAGAUUGGGAGGGGUACGGUCCUGAGGAGAGGAGUUGGGUUCCCUCUCGGGACGUGCUGGACCGUGCGCUGAUCGAGGAUUUCCUCCGUUGCCGCCAGGUUUCCUCCUCGAGUGCGCCAGGAGGCGCUCGGUGAGUGGGGGGGUACUGUCAUGUACUGUCAUGUUGUGUCUUGUCUCUGUCCUUUCCCUUCACCCUGUCUCCCUCUGCUGGUCGUUGUUAGGUUACCUUUUCUCCCCCUCUUUCCCCCAGCUGUGCCUUGUCUCCUCCUAACCACCUCGUCACCCCUUUUCCCACCUGUUCCCUUUUUCUCUCUGAUUAGGUCCCUAUAUCUCUCUCUGUUUCUGCUCCUGUCUUUGUCGGAUUCUUGUUUGUUGUGUUUCAUGCCUGAACCAGACUGUCGUCAUGUUUGCUGUAACCUUGUCUUGUCCUGUCGGAAUCUGCCGGUCCGUCUGAGCCUACCUAUGUUUGGUAAUUAAAGAAGCUCUGUUUAAGUUAAUUCGCUUUUGGGUCCUCAUUCACGCACCGUAACACUUUACUCACUCAUUAUGUUUCCUCUGUUGUCUUUACUCACUCAUUAUGUUUCCUCUGUUCUCUUUACUCACUCAUUAUGUUUCCUCUGUUCUCUUUACUCACUCAUUAUGUUUCCUCUGUUCUCUUUACUCACUCAUUAUGUUUCCACUGUUGUCUUUACUCACUCAUUAUGUUUCCUCUGUUCUCUUUACUCACUCAUUAUGUUUCACUGUCCUCUUUACUCACUCAUUAUGUUUCCUCUGUUGUCUUUACUCACUCAUUAUGUUUCCACUGUUCUCUUUACUCACUCAUUAUGUUUCACUGUCCUCUUUACUCACUCAUGUUUCACUGUCCUCUUUACUCACUCAUUAUGUUUCCUCUGUUCUCUUUACUCACUCAUUAUGUUUCCUCUGUCCUCUUUACUCACUCAUUAUGUUUCCUCUGUUCUCUUUACUCACUCAUUAUGUUUCCUCUGUUCUCUUUACUCACUCAUUAUGUUUCCUCUGUUGUCUUUACUCACUCAUUAUGUAUCCACUGUCCUCUUUACUCACUCAUUAUGUUUCCUCUGUUGUCUUUACUCACUCAUUAUGUUUCCACUGUUCUCUUUACUCACUCAUUAUGUUUCACUGUCCUCUUUACUCACUCAUGUUUCACUGUCCUCUUUACUCACUCAUUAUGUUUCCUCUGUUCUCUUUACUCACUCAUUAUGUUUCCUCUGUCCUCUUUACUCUCUCAUUAUGUUUCCUCUGUUCUCUUUACUCACUCAUUAUGUUUCCUCUGUUCUCUUUACUCGCUCAUUAUGAUUCCUCUGUUGUCUUUACUCACUCAUUAUGUAUCCACUGUCCUAUUUACUCACUCAUUAUGUUUCCUCUGUUCUCUUUACUCACUCAUUAUGUAUCCUCUGUUCUCUUUACUCACUCACUGUUUCCCCGGUCCUCUUUGCACACUAUCACUCAUGCUAUUUAUUCCUCCAUACUACAACAGAUGUUAUUUACAGAAUAAAACUAAGGCUAAAACAUCCGCCCCUGUUUGAAUAUAAUUAUGCUGGCUAACAGGAGUUUCUUAAGAUGUGCCAUGAACAGUGAUCGAUGAAUCCACUAUAAUAGAGCACAGUCGGUAUCCAUGGAUAUCUGUCAACCUUGUUCCAGGAUCACACAUGUCUCUCAGAGCGAGAAAAAGCUCGGAGCUGGCAGGGGAUGUCUUUUGCCAAACAUUCUGCGGCAGAUGGCAGUCAAUUUAUAGAAGAGAAGCAAAAUUAGUGCCUGGAGAAGCAAUUCUCUUUAAUGGUAUGUGAUAAAGUAUUAAUGGUGCCUGGUGGUAGUGCAGGUGAGGAAUUUGACAGCCAUGAGACAUUGAUUAACCUUUAACUCUAAUCCUGAAGAACAAAGGUCAGCUAGAAGUGAAGGACUUGCUCUGAGUUACAGUAGGUCACUUCCUACACUGACCCCUAACCCCUACCCCUGUGGAUGACUCUCUGUCUCCUCUGCAGGACUAGCUUUCGUACAGUAGGUGGAAGUGAGAAGAGCUCUCUUAAGAUUAAUGCACUUACUGUAAGUCGCUCUGGAUAAGAGUGUCUGCUAAAUUAAUUUUAAAAAACAUUUUAAAAAUCUUAAUGCAGAAAAGGGGAAGUUAACAUUAAUUCUGUACACUUUUUUCUGUCCCACUUUAUAUUGAUGACAAAACAUACACUACCGAUCAAAAGUUUUCCAACACCUACUCAUUCAAGGGUUUUUCUUCAUUUUUACUAUUUUCUACAUUGUACAAUAAUAGUGAAGACAUCAAAACUAUGAAAUAACACAUAUGGCAUCAUGUAGGAACCAAAAAAGUGUUCAACAAAUCAAAAUAUAUUUUAGAUUUGAGAUUCUUCAAAGUAGCCUGUUAGCCUUGGUGACAGCUUCGCACACUCUUGGCAUUCCCUCAACCAGCUUCUCCUGAAAUGCUUUUCCAACAGUCUUGAAGGAGUUCCCACAUAUGCUGAUCACUUGUUGGCUGCUUUUCCUUCACUCCGUGGUUCGACUCAUCCCAAACCAUCUCAAUUUGGUUGAGGUCAGGGAUUGUGGAGGCCAGGUCAUCUGAUGCAGAACUCCAUCAAGGUCAAAUAGCCCUUACACAGGCUGGAGGUGUGUUUUGGAUCAUUGUCCUUUUGAGAAACAAAUUAUAGUACCACUAAGCCCAAACCAAAUGGGACGACGUAUCGCUGCAGAAUGCGACAGGGUUUUCUAAUGAUCAAUUAGCCUUUUAAAAUGAUAAACUAGCUAACACAACGUACCAUUGGAACACAGGAGUGAUGGUUGCUGAUAAUGGGCCUCUGUACGCCUACAGUAUGUAGAUAUUCUAUUAAAAAUCAGCAGUUUCCAGUUCUAAAACUUUUGACUGGUAGUUUAUAUUUAGGUCUAUCUAGUUUAUUAUAGGUCAUAAUUACUGUAGUGAGUAAAGUAUACUUACUAUGAAGGUACAGAUUCUACAAAGCAGCUGUAAUUGCACAUUGAGGUUUGUGUGAUUCCUCACAGAAAUGUAUUUUAUUCAUGCUUUAGAUUUGCAAACAAAGCAAAUUCAUUGUGAUUAAAACCACUCACUUUCAAAUUAUCACUUUUUAAUAUCACAGUUUGCAAUUUCAAAUAUCUGAAAUUAUGAAAUGUCAUACACCAGGCCACCAUACACCACCAUUGAGCCUGGAUACAAGGUUAGAAAUUCUGCAAGCCACAAUCCACGAACAAGUACUGACAUAAGUGUUUUCUAAAACCAUGUUAUUGUGCAAGGUUUUAAGCAUGCUGGUCAGUGUGAGAAGGGGGCUGAAUAGUACACCCUCAUGAUCAGUGUGAUAUGAGUUAAUAUGAACCAGAUCGUCAGAUCGUCUAACCCCCCACGUCUCAUCCCUCUUCAAGAGGAAACCCAGUUCUUUCCCCUUCUCUUAUCCUGUCUCUCAUUUUCUCUUCUUCCUCUCUUCUCUUGUCACACUCCCUUUGUCUCUCAUCCUACUCCUUAAUCAUAUUCCCAUACAACCUCUUACACAUCUUCUAACCGCCCACUGUCCUCUAACCGCCGACUCUCCUCUAACCGCCCACUCUCCUCUAACCACCCACUGUCCUCUAACCUCCCCCCUCCUCUAACCUCCCACCCUCCUCUAACCUCCCCCCUCCUCUAACCUCCCACUCUCCUCUA